ACUUGAGUAGUUUAAGUAAAAUAUUGAUUUGUGGUGUCAGUGAUAUAGAAUAUCUAUCUUAGGUC
rnacentral:tRNA from 1 species